rnacentral:rRNA from 1 species
UACGGGGGGGGCAAGCGUUGUUCGGAAUUACUGGGCGUAAAGGGCGCGUAGGCGGUCGGCCAAGUGGAAGGUGAAAUCCCCGGGCUUAACCUGGGAACUGCCCUCCAAACUGUUUGACUUGAGUCCGGGAGAGGUGAGUGGAAUUCCCAGUGUAGCGGUGAAAUGCGUAGAUAUUGGGAGGAACACCAGUGGCGAAGGCGGCUCACUGGACCGGAACUGACGCUGAGGCGCGAAAGCGUGGGGAGCAAACAGG